rnacentral:rRNA from 1 species
AACGAACGCUGGCGGCGUGGAUAAGACAUGCAAGUCGAACGGGAUUACUUCUGUAGCAAUACGGAAGUAAUUUAGUGGCGAACGGGUGCGUAACACGUGGGCAAUCUGCCGAGAAGUGGGGGAUAGCUCGCCGAAAGGCGAAUUAAUACCGCAUGCGAUCAGAGGCGACAUCGCUUCGAAAUCAAAGCCGGGGUAACCUGGCGCUUUUUGAGGAGCCCGCGGCCUAUCAGCUAGUUGGUGAGGUAACGGCUCACCAAGGCUAUGACGGGUAGCUGGUCUGAGAGGACGACCAGUCACACUGGGAACUGAGACACGGGUCCAGACACCUACGGGUGGCAGCAGUCGAGAAUUUUUUCUCAAUGGGGGCAACCCUGAAGGAGCGACGCCGCGUGGAGGAUGAAGGCUUUC